rnacentral:rRNA from 1 species
GACGAACGCUGGCGGCGUGCUUAACACAUGCAAGUCGAACGGAAAGGCCCUGCUUUUGUGGGGUGCUCGAGUGGCGAACGGGUGAGUAACACGUGAGUAACCUGCCCUUGACUUUGGGAUAACUUCAGGAAACUGGGGCUAAUACCGGAUAGGAGCUCCUGCUGCAUGGUGGGGGUUGGAAAGUUUCGGCGGUUGGGGAUGGACUCGCGGCUUAUCAGCUUGUUGGUGGGGUAGUGGCUUACCAAGGCUUUGACGGGUAGCCGGCCUGAGAGGGUGACCGGCCACAUUGGGACUGAGAUACGGCCCAGACUCCUACGUGAGGCGGCAGUGGGGAAUAUUGCACAAUGGGCGGAAGCCUGAUGCAGCAGCGCCGCGUGCGGGAUGACGGCCUUCGGGUUGUAAACCGCUUUCGCCUGUGACGAAGCGUGAGUGACGGUAAUGGGUAAAGAAGCACCGGCUAACUACGUG